GUCCAGACUCCUACGGGAGGCAGCAGUGAGGAAUAUUGGUCAAUGGCCGUAAGGCUGAACCAGCCAAGUAGCGUGAGGGAAGACUGCCCUAUGGGUUGUAAACCUCUUUUAUGCGGGGAUAAAGGUGUCCACGUGUGGAUGUUUGCAGGUACCGCAUGAAUAAGGACCGGCUAAUUCCGUGCCAGCAGCCGCGGUAAUACGGAAGGUCCGGGCGUUAUCCGGAUUUAUUGGGUUUAAAGGGAGCGUAGGCCGGUCUUUAAGCGUGCCGUGAAAUUUUGUGGCUCAACCAUGAGAGUGCGGCGCGAACUGGAGACCUUGAGUGCGCGGAAGGCAGGCGGAAUUCGUGGUGUAGCGGUGAAAUGCGUAGAUAUCAGGAGGAACACCGGCGGCGAAGGCGGCUUACUGGACGGCAACUGACGUUGAGGCCCGAAAGCGUGGGGAGCGAACAGGAUUAGAUACCCCCAUAC
rnacentral:rRNA from 1 species